UCCUCUUGAAUUCCACUCUACGUAGUUAAUUUCUGUACCUAUUGAAGACAUUUAAACUGAAGUCGUUUUAUGUACUGUAUAGUGUUGUAGAUACGUAAUUUGAGUUUAUAAUUCUUGAGAAAUGCCUUCGUCCUCAUCGUUUUUUUUCCUUAAGUCUCUGUUGAUCUCGAGAAAUAAAAACGAUUGGGAUACUUACAGGUUCAUUUUUGCUUCUGAUUGGAUGCGGAUCUUCCGCAGCCGAUUGAACGAAAUGAUACAAAAAUUGGAAAGAAAUCGUGAAAAUGUGGAAAAAGAUCGUGAAUUGGAGCGCGAAAAGCAUUAAUUGUAAAUCGUUAAAUUAUUAGACAUGGAUAAUAAUGGAAUCCCAAAAAUGUUACCAACUCAGAUAGCGAAUCAGGUUAAAGAAAAAGGGAUUAAAAGUGCAUAGUUUUCUUCAGUGAGUUCUAGUUGUAGUACAUAGUAAUUAAUACCGAUUACUUUGAUUUUACUGGAACAAGAAAAAGUCAGAUGACUUGAAGAACGACGUUAUUAAUAAUGUUUUGUUAUGUAGCAUCACCUUCUGAGUUGUUCAGAUGACUCUUCUCUUACAGGUUAUUGUUUACUAAAAACUGAUUAAUAAUAGAGAAAAACUCGCUGUUUUGGUUGCUUGAGAUGGACAAGAAGAGAAUUACCAUUUUAAAUGCCAAACGAACAUGUUUAAGAAUAUGUACCUCUACCUACCCUCUUUGAUAGGGUGUACGUACCUUUUUUUGAUCCCAGUCCCAAGGGUUUGUGGGUGUGGCAAGUUUAUUUUUAUACUGAAAAAAACAUUUUUUUUUUUUGCAAAAAUCAAGAACUUAUUUUUCAGAAGAGAAAAUAAUUUUUCUUUAUUUAAAUUUACUUUUUUUUUUGAAAUUAGGAGAACUGAUUCAGUGGUUUGGGGUGGUUGAGAAAAAGCAUGAUUUCAAUUUCACAAAAUAAAUAUGCUAUACCUACUAAUUGAAAUACCAACAUUAUUAAUAAAUCUGAUUAAUUAUUUUAUGAAAUAUUAAAUAAUUGUACAUAGCUUGUUUACAAGUAGGUACAUGAUAUACUGUAGGGUAUUCAUUUGAAUUACACUGUUGUGGUAUUAUAAAUGGAUUUACAUACUUCUCAUUAUGUUGGGCUAUUGCAUUAUCGAGCACAAAGCACCGAGCAGAUAGCCUAUAUCUCAUCCACAUCAUCACUGUGUGCACUUUCCAAGUGCCUGUUGAGGUGAUCUUUAUGCACAAAUGUUAUUUUGCAUUUUGGACAUUAAAUUUUGAUUUAAAAAUAAAAAAAUAAAUAGAAGAUGAGUAUCUUCAGUUAUUCUGUUGCAAUAAUAUAAAUGGACUAACUUACUUACAUCACUUAGGGUUCCUGCAUAUUUCACUGCACGGUUGGUAAUUGUAUAACCAAGUUAUGUGAGUUGGACGUGGAUGUCCUGUGAAAGAAGGGAGGGGAAAACUAUUAGGAUGGGUAGCUAUUUUGACAUUAAUUCUCGAUGGGUACCUAUAGGCAGGGCUCGGAUAUCCUUUCCCUAAAAAAACCAAAAUAUGCGCUUAAAUAUUCCCCGAAAAAUGCCAAAAUAUGCUUUAAAAAGUAAAAAUAUUCCCAAAUUUUAGGGCAUUGUUUUACAGGAAAAAUCAAUUCCUGUAGAAUUUUACUAAUAUUGUUGUGUAAUACCAAGCAUUCACGAACAUAAAUGAAAAACAGACCAUCCUUGGCCCUUCAAACCAUAUUAGUCUUCCAGUAAGGAGCCUCUGAAAGUUGAAAAAAAUCAAAAAAAAAUUUAGAAUAAAUCAAAAUCAGGAAAUUUUUUUAAAUAUCUUAUUUUCAUACUAGAAUUGUUCUACAUAACUUCCUUUUCAAGGAAAAACCUUCGUUGGACCUCCAAAUCAGUGCAUAAAGAAGGGGGCAGGAGGUCAUGAUUACCCAGAAUGCCACUGGAAAAGGUGUAAUAUGAUUUUUAUUCUUACUUUUAGGACUCGAAAAGUAAUUUAAAAACCGUCCCCCUUCGCAUUUAUAGCUUUUUUUCAAGAGAACACGUUAUUUGGAUAGCUGUAGGUUAGUCCGUUGCCCCUAAGAUUACAAAAAUUAUCUAUAGGUCAUCUAAAAGGAAAUCUGAUGCAAUCUACCUAGAUAAAACUCAUAAAAAUAAGAAUUCGAUUAAAUGCGUAUUUAACGAGGAAAAUAAGUUUGAAUCAUGGUUAUCCAAAUCAUCACAGAAUUUGUACAUUAAAUGAUGCAAGAUUAGUGCCCAGUGGCUUUAAUUUCCAAGUGGAAAGAGCUACCAAAUGGAAAUUUUUUUUUAAAUUGAUCACUUUUUAGAAAAAUGAAUUUGC